GUGGGGAAUCUUCCGCAAUGGACGAAAGUCUGACGGAGCAACGCCGCGUGAGUGAUGAAGGUCUUCGGAUUGUAAAGCUCUGUUAAUCGGGACGAAAGAGCCUAGUGUGAAUAAUGCUAGGAAGUGACGGUACCGGAAUAGAAAGCCACGGCUAACUACGUGCCAGCAGCCGCGGUAAUACGUAGGUGGCAAGCGUUGUCCGGAAUUAUUGGGCGUAAAGCGCGCGCAGGCGGAUCUGCCAGUCUGUCUUAAAAGUUCGGGGCUUAACCCCGUGAUGGGAUGGAAACUACAGAUCUAGAGUAUCGGAGAGGAAAGUGGAAUUCCUAGUGUAGCGAUGAAAUGCGUAGAUAUUAGGAAGAACACCAGUGGCGAAGGCGACUUUCUGGACGAUGUCUGACGCUGAGGCGCGAAAGCUAGGGGAGCGAACGGGAUUAGAUACCCGAGUAGUCC
rnacentral:rRNA from 1 species